GGGCGUGGAGGGGGGCCUUUGCUGCAUGGGGUGUCCUCGGGCUCCACCUGGUGCGGAAAAGGGGGUCGUUAGUGAAGGUGUUAAUGCUGGCUCUCUCAGGUAAAAAAAUAUGUGCCAAAAACUAUAGGUACCAGAAAGUAUAGGUGCCAGAAAAUAUAGGUACCAAAAACUGUAGGUACUAAAAAUUGUAGGAACCAAAAACUAUAGGUACCAAAAACUGCAGGUGCCAAAAACUAUAGGUACCAGAAAGUAUAGGUACCAGAAAGUAUAGGUACCAAAAACUAUAGGUACGAAAACUAUAGGUACCAAAAACUAUAUGGACUUGGAAAAUUAAAUUACUAUUAUUAUUAUUAUUAUUAUUAUUAUUAUUAUUAUUAUUAUUAUUAUUAUUUACAUUAUAUUCAUUACUUUACAUAUACUUUUCCUUAUCAACAGCUAACUUACAAUAUACUUACACACACUAACACGUACACACUUACAAACAUGCACUUACACAACUAACUACGAAAAAGUGAGUUAGUAAAGCAAUUAAAACACACACACACACACACACACACACACACACACACACACACACACACACACACACACACACA